rnacentral:rRNA from 1 species
CCCUUAGAUGUCCGGGGCCGCACGCGCGCUACACUGAAGGAAUCAGCGUGGCUUUCUCCCUGACCCGAAAGGGUUGGGAAACCCGUUGAAUCUCCUUCGUGAUAGGGAUUGGGGCUUGAAAUUGUUCCCCAUGAACGAGGAAUUCCAAGUAAGCGCGAGUCAUAAGCUCGCGUUGAUUACGUCCCUGCCCUUUGUACACACCGCCCGUCGCUACUACCGAUUGAACGGUUUAGUGAGGGCCUCGGAUUGGUCUCGGCCCGCUCUUUACCGGGCGGCGCCGUUGGUCGAGAAGACGCUCGAACUUGAUCGUUUAGAGGAAGUAAAAGUCGUAACA